rnacentral:rRNA from 1 species
UACAGAGGUCUCGAGCGUUAGGCGGAAUCACUGGGCUUAAAGCGUGUGUAGGCGGAUCGUUAAGUACCUUGUGAAAUCCCACGGCUUAACCGUGGAACUGCUUGGUAUACUGUCGGUCUUGAGCCAGCUAGGGGCUACCGGAACAAAUGGUGGAGCGGUGAAAUGCGUAGAUAUCAUUUGGAACGCCAAUGGUGAAAACAGGUAGCUGGGGCUGUGCUGACGCUGAGACACGAAAGCCAGGGGAGCAAACGGG